AGCGCAUCUAGUGUAGUGGUAUCAUAGUACCCUCCCACGGUACUGACCGGGGUUCGAUUCCCCGGAUGCGCAUUUUUAUUUUUAUUCAGCUUACUGAAUGUUAGUUUAUAUUUUAUGUUAUCGAAUAUACCGUCACAUAAAGCGCAUCUAGUGUAGUGGUAUCAUAGUACCCUCCCACGGUACUGACCGGGGUUCGAUUCCCCGGAUGCGCAA
rnacentral:tRNA from 1 species